GUAUACUCGUAAGUUAAAAUACAAUUAACUGUAGCCGGGAUAACAACAAUUAACAACUUAUGUGCAUAAAAUCAUGAGUGAUUUCGUGGAAAUAAAAAUUUAUACUAGGCUGCACGGACAACAAAACAGUGGACAAAAGGUGUAUUGGCACAACAUUAACUUAGUCAUUUCAGGAGUGAGAGGAUAUCAAUUUUGUUACGUGCUUUCAAUGGAUUUUAAGAAGAAAAAUACAUAUAUUCCGAAUUAAAUGAUUUGAAAAUAUCGCUUUUGUGCAUAUAAAAUUUGACUCAGGACAUUACUGGUUUUAAGUUUAUCUUAAGAAUGCAACUUUCUGUUCUCGAAAAGGAGAAGGACAAAUUUUGAUGAUAUCCAAGCAUGUUUAUAAUUACAUUUGAACCGCUAUUUUAAACAGACAAAAUAAUAAAAUCAUGACUUUAAAAUAAAA